rnacentral:rRNA from 1 species
CCCUACGGGGCGCAGCAGGCGCGAAAACUCUACAAUGCGGGCAACUGCGAUAGGGGAACAUCGAGUGGUCUCCAUAUUGGGGGCCUGUCCCCCCGCCUAAAAAGCGGGGGUUAGCAAGGGCCGGGCAAGACCGGUGCCAGCCGCCGCGGUAAUACCGGCGGCUCGAGUGGUGGCCGAUAUUAUUGAGUCUAAAGGGUCCGUAGCCGGCUUUGCAAGUCUCUCGGGAAAUCCAGCGGCUUAACCGUUGGUCGUCCGGGGGGUACUACAUUGCUUGGGACUGGGAGAGGUGAGAGGUACUCAGGGGGUAGGAGUGAAAUCCUGUAAUCCA